AAAUAGAAGUAUAAAAUUUAUUUAAAACCACCCACAAAGUUCUGUGUAAUCAGGAAUGAUACAAUUUGUAAUAGUCUUUUUAAAAACUCAUGACAAGAUUUAAAAUAUAUUUUCAAUUACAGUAUUCAUUUAGCCUUAUUCAGUUAGGACAAUAAAAAAAAAAGAAAGUUUACGAUCUAAACAGAUGAGACACACGAGAAAAAUAGAACAGAACAGACAAUUUCCACAACAACAAUUUUUACAUGUAUGUUUCAAUACUAGUAUCAACAUUUCAAUGCAUCUUGCUACAUAAACAUGAAAUCAUGUACAACAACUGCUUGCACCAAAAAACAUAGCUUAAUUAGAUCUUUCAAGUAACAUGCAGUCACAACUCACAAGUCUUCAAGUACUGCUGGUAAGGGUUCCCUUGUCUGCAAAGAAGAUUUUAAGGUUCAGUUUCUCAGCUAGUGUAACUCUUCACAGCUCCACCAGCCUCAUGAAGCUGUGUUCAGUUAUACUAGGAAAGAAUCAGGCCCCAAAUGUUUUUUGAGAAAAAAGUAAUUUUUAUACUUUCUCCUGUAAAUACUGUGACAUAAUGAAGUGCUUUUUCUUUCUGAUUUUUUUCUCCCUGUACAUCAUCUUUUGUUUAAAAAAGUUAAUUUUAUGUUCCACAUCUAAAUAACAGUAGGUUGGUAACUGGAAAUAAUCCAAACCCUCAAAUUCAAAGUUGAAAAUAAAUAUCAAAUGCAUCCCAAAGAAAGAAAAAGAAAGAAAAGAAGGAAAGAAAAAAUGCUGACUUUGUUUUGUUUUGUUUUUUUGCUUUGGCAUACUGAUAAAUCUUUUAGUUUUGCAAAGCAGGAAAGCAUUCAUUAGCCAUAGCAUUUCAGUACAGUGUGUCCUUACCUAUUACUGUUUUUUCUUAUGACAGCAAAUUCUGAACAAUAUUUAUGACCUGGUGUGAUACUGUCACAUUAUGAAGAACUGUCUCUUCCAAACUGAACAACUGUUGAAGACUGAAAUGUCUGAAUGCUUGUAUUGGAUAGAACUGGCUUUCUUUUAGUGGUAUUGGGAUAUCACAUUUGUUUUUCUUGCCUACAGUUAUUUUUUCAUUUUGAGGACAAGAGAUUCAUGAAGUUCAGACACUGCCUUUUGAGCUGCAUGGAUCAGACUGGCAUUCACAAAGUCAGUACAAAAUCUGUUCUCAUUAGGCUCUGCAGUAUCACUGCAGUUUAGAAAUUUAAGAAUGAAGCUAUGUUUUCUUUUCCUCAGACUUUUUUUGAAAGAGAAGUUUGCAUUGCGUUGCAUUUCAUAACUGCAAUGUAGCGGGGCUUGAUGCUUACAUAAAGCUUCUACUGGCAGCAAGGGAGGCUCUGCAUGACUUGAGCAUGCAGGGCGGUACCAAUGGUUUCACUGUCAAGUAGCACCAUGGUUAGGGCAGUCAGAAAACGUUGGCUUUUAGCUUUGUGUCUCAAAACUCACUGCCACAUGAAAGCACCACACAAUACUGUACACCCUGCUGGGUCUUAAGUCAGAAAAGAACUGAGUUCAGUAGAUUGUCACAACCCCGUUUUAUACAAUCAAGUAAAAGGGAUGAAGUUAUGAUAAAUGGAAGCAAGUAUUUUAAGGAAAAAAAAAAAACACCAAAGCUUACAAAUAGUAUUAUUGACAAUUCUGUAAGGUUUCUGGCCAGGCUAUUACCUAGAGAUACAAGUCUUCUACCCCAUUCUCUUUGUAGACAGUGUUGGGAGAAGGACAGCCAAUAGAAGUGAAUACUUGAAACCUGAUAAAAACCAAGCCAGUUUCUUUUCAACCUGUAUUUCUAAACUAAGAACUAUCUGGAUGUUAUUGGCCACUAUGUGCACAAUAGCAAUAUCAUGAAAUUGAUUUCAGAUGAUUGUACAAAUCAGUCAUUUGGUAACGGUUUUAAUUUAUUCUACUGACUGUUUACACCAUUAUUAGUGUAAUGGGAAACUCCAAAGGAUGUAAGCUAAAUUGACAUCCGUUUAAGGCCCCUUUAUCCUUUCAAUGUGAUGCAAAGGACAGUAGUAUAAAUGAGAAUCAGGGCCUUCAUUCUUAUUGUAGACAACUUCCAAACCUUAGACCCUUUUCCAUUACAAUAUUAUAAUAAAGAUACAGAUAUACAUGUAAAAUAUUGACCAGGUCACAAAACUUUCUACAACAGUAUUAAAAUGUUCUGUGGCAACAACUGCAAUACUGAACAUCAAACUAGCAGUUCCCUUGCUCCACUGCAACAGCACUUCUUUGGAAUACAGUUCAUCUGCUAUAACUGGUAACUCUGUAGAUUAACUGCCGAAUCUGUCCUCCUUCUUACAUAUGUAAUUUUAUGAGGUCUACACCUGCAUCCUAUGACUUCAUGAGGAACGCUGGUAAGGUGUGCAAAGUGUUAAAACCAGCAUUGUUAAUCAGUCACACCAGCCAGAGCAAGUCACCGUCACGUUAUUUAGCACCCCAGGCUUGCAUUCGCUGCAGGUAUGCUGUCGGAAGAUUCUAGCACUUAAAUAUAAAUGUGGGUGGAAAUACUACAUAUAUAAUGGUCCAGUAGAAGAGGAAAAUACACUAUUGCGGGAAGAGUUAAGGACACAGCAUCGAGAAGUAUCUUGUAUCUUUUAGAACUGAAGUUACAAGUAGCAUUUAUAGCAUUCAGCAGUAGGUUAUAAUGUGAUCUAGUGCUGGCUUUGAAAAUAGCUAGCCACAGCAGAUGAGCCAUAGAGAGACCAUGGAGUGAGAAAGGUGGCUGUAGUAUUCAAUGUCGUUUGUAGAGUAGAAAGCAGUAUCUACUGAUGAGUACUAGUCAAAUUAAACAUUCCUGGGGGAGGCAACACAGCAUUAGGUAGAAUUAAGUUUUCAUAAUUUAGUC
rnacentral:lncRNA from 1 species